rnacentral:rRNA from 1 species
CGGAGGGUGCAAGCGUUAUCCGGAUUCACUGGGUUUAAAGGGUGUGUAGGCGGGCUGUUAAGUCAGUGGUGAAAUCUCCGGGCUCAACCUGGAAACUGCCAUUGAUACUAUCAGUCUUGAAUUUUGUUGAGGUAGGCGGAAUAUGUCAUGUAGCGGUGAAAUGCUUAGAUAUGACAUAGAACACCGAUUGCGAAGGCAGCUUACUAAGCAAAUAUUGACGCUGAGGCACGAAAGCGUGGGGAUCAAACAGGAUUAGAUACCCUGGUAGUCCACGCCCUAAACGAUGAUUACUCGACAUACGUGAUACACUAUGUGUGUCUGAGCGAAAGCAUUAAGUAAUCCACCUGGGAAGUACGUCCGCAAGGAUG